UGUCUCUCUCCUUUUCUCUCUCCGUCUCUCUCUCAUAUGUUGGACAGGUGAUUCUUCUCUCUAGAUGUUGGACAGGUGUUUCUCCUCUCUAGAUGUUGGACAGGUGUUUCUCCUCUCUAGAUGUUGGGCAGGUAAUUCUCCUCUCUAGAUGUUGGACAGGUGUUUCUCCUCUCUAGAUGUUGGACAGGUGAUUCUCCUCUCUAGAUGUUGGACAGGUGUUUCUCCUCUCUAGAUGUUGGACAGGUGUUUCUCCUCUCUAGAUGUGGGACAGGUGUUUCUCCUCUCUAGAUGUGGGACAGGUGUUUCUCCUCUCUAGAUGUUGGACAGGUGUUUCUCCUCUCUAGAUGUUGGACAGGUGAUUCUCCUCUCUAGAUGUUGGACAGGUGUUUCUCCUCUCUAGAUGUUGGACAGGUGAUUCUCCUCUCUAGAUGAUGGACAGGUGUUUCUCCUCUCUAGAUGUUGGACAGGUGAUUCUCCUCUCUAGAUGUUGGACAGGUGAUUCUCCUCUCUAGAUGUUGGACAGGUGUUUCUCCUCUCUAGAUGUUGGACAGGUGUUUCUCCUCUCUAGAUGUUGGACAGGUGUUUCUCCUCUCUAGAUGUUGGACAGGUGAUUCUCCUCUCUAGAUGUUGGACAGGUGAUUCUCCUCUCUAGAUGUUGGACAGGUGAUUCUCCUCUCUAGAUGUUGGGCAGGUGAUUCUCCUCUCUAGAUGUUGGACAGGUGUUUCUCCUCUCUAGAUGUUGGACAGGUGAUUCUCCUCUCUAGAUGUUGGGCAGGUGAUUCCCCUCUCUAGAUGUUGGACAGGUGUUUCUCCUCUCUAGAUGUGGGACAGGUGUUUCUCCUCUCUAGAUGUUGGAGAGGUGAUUCUUCUCUCUCUAGAUGUUGGUCAGGUGAUUCUUCUCUCUCUAGAUGUUGGACAGGUGAUUCUCCUCUCUAGAUGUUGGACAGGUGUUUCUCCUCUCUAGAUGUUGGACAGGUGAUUCUCCUCUCUAGAUGUUGGACAGGUGUUUCUCCUCUCUAGAUAUUGGACAGGUGUUUCUCCUCUCUAGAUGUUGGACAGGUGAUUCUUCUCUCUCUAGAUGUUGGGCAGGUGAUUCUCCUCUCUAGAUGUUGGACAGGUGAUUCUCCUCUCUAGAUGUUGGACAGGUGAUUCUCCUCUCUAGAUGUUGGACAGGUGUUUCUCCUCUCUAGAUGUUGGACAGGUGUUUCUCCUCUCUAGAUGUUGGACAGGUGAUUCUCCUCUCUAGAUGUUGGACAGGUGUUUCUCCUCUCUAGAUGUUGGACAGGUGUUUCUCCUCUCUAGAUGUUGGACAGGUGAUUCUCCUCUCUAGAUGUUGGACAGGUGUUUCUCCUCUCUAGAUGUUGGACAGGUGAUUCUCCUCUCUAGAUGUUGGACAGGUGAUUCUUCUCUCUCUAGAUGUUGGGCAGGUGUUUCUCCUCUCUAGAUGUUGGACAGGUGAUUCUCCUCUCUAGAUGUUGGGCAGGUGAUUCUCUCUCUCUAGAUGUUGGACAGGUGAUUCUCUCUCUAGAUGUUGGACAGGUGAUUCUCCUCUCUAGAUGUUGGGCAGGUGAUUCUCUCUCUCUAGAUGUUGGACAGGUGAUUCUCUCUCUAGAUGUU